UAUGAGUUGAUUAACCAGCAUGAGACCUCCC
rnacentral:piRNA from 1 species